UACGUAGGUGGCGAGCGUUGUCCGGAAUUACUGGGUGUAAAGGGAGCGUAGGCAGGAGUGCAAGUUGAAUGUUAAAUCUAUCGGCUCAACCGAUAGCCGCGUUCAAAACUGCAUUUCUUGAGUGAAGUAGAGGUUGGCGGAAUUCCUAGUGUAGCGGUGAAAUGCGUAGAUAUUAGGAGGAACACCGAUGGCGAAGGCAGGUCUCUGGGCAGUAACUGACGCUGAGGAGCGAAAGCGUGGGGAGCGAACAGGAUUAGAUACCCCGGUAGU
rnacentral:rRNA from 1 species